rnacentral:rRNA from 1 species
GGGCCCGCACAAGCAGCGGAGCGUGUGGUUUAAUUCGAUGCUACACGAAGAACCUUACCUGGGUUUGACAUAUAGGUUGUAGGGAACUGAAAGGGACCGACCCUUCGGGGAGCCUAUACAGGUGUUGCAUGGCUGUCGUCAGCUCGUGUCGUGAGAUGUUCGGUUAAGUCCGCUAACGAGCGCAACCCUCGUCGUAUGUUAUAUGUGUCAUACGAGACUGCCGGUAAAAAGCCGGAGGAAGGUGAGGAUGAUGUCAAGUCAGCAUGACCUUUAUAUCCAGGGCUACACACACGCUACAAUGGGUCUGUACAAUGGGUAGCCAAGCCGCGAGGCGGAGCCAAUCCUGAAAGCAGGCCUCAGUUCAGAUUGCAGUCUGCAACUCGACUGCAUGAAGCCGGAGUUGCUAGUAACCGCAGGUCAGCAAUACUGCGGUGAAUACGUUCCCGGGGCUU